AGUGUGUAAGACGCUCACGGGCGCGCGGACUAUCGGGCGGCUAGGCUCUCUGAGGAGGCUGCCACAGUGAAGCAACCGUGACAAGUGGUGCCCGACCAGGGACCUGAACGAGGAAGGUCUGCCAGAGCAGAGAAAGUGAAACUGAUCAGACGAACUACGAACCCCUGGACGGGAGAGUCUGCCGGCGGAGAAUAUAAGACCCCAGCAGAACGACACUGGCAACUGCUAGAGGAAAAGAGGAGAUGGACAAACCGUGUGGGUGCCCUCCAGGUGUGUGUGACCAUGGAACGGGAGACCGGAGGGAUCCAUGGUAUUCAACCGUGGGCCUGUUACCUCCAGUACGAGCCAUGAGCCAGCGGAAUCUGAAUGCAAAGACAGAACAAGGGCCGACCGGAGUCACAAUGACAUCCAACCCCAUAACAUGGGGACAGAUCAAGAAAACGACACAAGAAGCUGAGAAACUACUGGAGCGCCAGGGUCAGGCAAAAACCCCUGACUCCAUGUUCUUGGCCAUGCUAGCUGUAGUGUCCUGUGCG
rnacentral:lncRNA from 1 species